rnacentral:rRNA from 1 species
CGUAGGGUGCGAGCGUUGUCCGGAUUUAUUGGGCGUAAAGAGCUUGUAGGCGGUUUGUCGCGUCGGGAGUGAAAACUCAGUGCUUAACACUGAGCCUGCUUCCGAUACGGGCAGACUUGAGGAAGGUAGGGGAGAUUGGAAUUCCUGGUGAAGCGGUGGAAUGCGUAGAUAUCAGGAGGAACACCAGUGGCGAAGGCGGAUCUCUGGACCUUUCCUGACGCUGAGAAGCGAAAGCGUGGGGAGCAAACAGGCUUAGAUACCCU